rnacentral:tRNA from 2 species
GCUGGUAUGGCUCAGUUGGUAGAGCGCACCCUUGGUAAGGGUGAGGUCCCCAGUUCGAAUCUGGGUACUAGCA